rnacentral:rRNA from 1 species
CCUACGGGAGGCAGCAGUGGGGAAUUUUGGACAAUGGGCGCAAGCCUGAUCCAGCCAUGCCGCGUGUGGGAAGAAGGCCUUCGGGUUGUAAACCACUUUUGUCAGGGAAGAAACGGUCUGAACUAAUACUUUGGACUAAUGACGGUACCUGAAGAAUAAGCACCGGCUAACUACGUGCCAGCAGCCGCGGUAAUACGUAGGGUGCAAGCGUUAAUCGGAAUUACUGGGCGUAAAGCGUGCGCAGGCGGCUUUGCAAGACAGAUGUGAAAUCCCCGGGCUCAACCUGGGGACUGCAUUUGUGACUGCAUGGCUAGAGUACGGUAGAGGGGGAUGGAAUUCCGCGUGUAGCAGUGAAAUGCGUAGAUAUGCGGAGGAACACCGAUGGCGAAGGCAAUCCCCUGGACCUGUACUGACGCUCAUGCACGAAAGCGUGGGGAGCAAACAGGAUUAGAUACCCUGGUAGUCCACGCCCUAAACGAUGUCAACUGGUUGUUGGGAGGGUUUCUUCUCAGUAACGAAGCUAACGCGUGAAGUUGACCGCCUGGGGAGUACGGCCGCAAGGUUGAAACUUAAAUGAAAUUGACGG